CAGUACUUGAACCUUCUGAAUACUAUGCUCGUGGCUAUCAGUCCGUUCCAGGUUAUGUGAUUGAUGAGAGGAGACCUGUAACAGAGCCCCGCCUUCCUUUCGGUAUUGGUCUUGGCUGGUUCUUGUUCAUUAUUGGUUUCUUUCUUGCUGGCUUCCCUUGGUAUGUUGCUGCAUUUAUCCCGCUUUGCAACAGAUCAAUUGAUCAUCGAGAGAAAUCAGGAUUCGUUGCAUGCACCAUUGCUGCUGUUCUCGCUGUAAUUGGUAAUAUCGUAUUUGGGUUGACAUGGAUAUUAUUAACAGCAUAAUGGUGAUCAACUUCUGUGGAGUAUUCGUGUUCUAGCUAGUUUGCUUGAUUAAUGCACAUUUUAUUCAGAACAUUUCUGUAAAACAAAAGUUACAUGUUAU
rnacentral:misc_RNA from 1 species